rnacentral:lncRNA from 7 species
AUCAGAUGCAGAAAGGACAAGACAAUGGAAUUAAAACAUUCAAAAUUCUUUUCAGUACUUCCAGAUGCCAAUAGCAGAGACGUACUGACAUGAAAACCUCAACAAAAAAUGUUAGCAGCGGGGUUUUUUCUUCUGUCACUGUUCCAAGAAAUGAAACAUCUGUAAAAUACUAUGUUAGCAAGGUUGUAUCUACCCCAUCUACCUCUGUGAUGACAGAAUCACAGAAUGGCUUGUGUUGGAAGGAACCUCAAGGAUCAUGAAGCUCCAACCCCCUCGCCACAAGCAGGGCCACCAACCUCUGCAUUUAAUCCCAGACCAGACCACAUUUAAUGCCCAGGGCCCCAUCCAACCUGACGUUGAACAUCUCCAGGGAUGAGGCAUCCACAACCUCUUUGUGCAGCUGUUCCAGCACCUCACCACUCUCAUAGUAAAGAAAUUACAGAUUAUGAAGUAGUGGUUCCUGUGUGUAUCUGCUGUGCUGACCUCACCUAUAAAUGACUCUGCAGUGGAAAAGAUUCUUCUGUUCCCAAAAAUAUAAAUUACUCUUUAGACUAGGUUUUGCAUUCAAGCUAAUACAAUGGUGUUACUCAUAAGAGUGAAAUUAUUUGUGUUCAGACACGUUCCUAGAAUUAAUAUGUAACAUCUCAAAUCAGAUCUAACAGGAUGAAAAUGCGGAAUUUUGGGGGUCCAAUUUUGAGUAUGUAUCAAUCACAAAUUAUGAUUCUGGAAAAAAAAGUAGUUGUAACUAUGAGGUUAAUUAUAGUAACUAUGAGGUAGAUUAUAUGUAGUCAUCAAAUAACAGUUUUGUUACGCAAUGAGUAUCUGUCUUUGCAGUUAUAACACUGCAUCAUUUCUUAAAGUUAGUAUUAUCUUGUAACUUCACAUUGUGUUUUAAUUGCCUACUUGAAUUUGCUGUGCUUUAGUAGUGAAGACUUGCUGAUUAGUAUAUUAAUUGUUUUUAAGUGUUAAUGUAAUGCUUGGGACUUAUUUAACUUGGAUAAAUUGUGGGAUCUUUUUUUCUCUUUUCCUUCUUUAAGAGCUCAGCACAUAUAUCGGUCGAAUCUCCCUAUGAACUCAAAUCCCUGCUCUUACAUAAUGGCUAUUAGACUUAUGCUGUAAAGCUAAUCGCAGCAGGUGCCAUCACAGGACAGUGGGACAGUAGUGAACAUCCUUCCUGGUCAGUGGUCUCUGAUGUCAGACCCAGACUUUAUCCUUCUUCUACUGUGCUUUUUCAGGUGAUGUUUAAAGCCUGAUUUGACUGAUUAGUGCCAAUAUAGUUGAUUAAAGUUGCUUAUUGUUUUAAUCUGUCAGCAGUGUGAAUGUCAUGCAUCUGCUUAGGUAGGAGUAGUGGUGAAUUGAAAGGUAAGAGCUAUGUCUGAUUUCCAAUAUGAGCUGUUUUAGCCAACCCCCAUCUGAUGGGAAGCCUGUACCACUACAGGACUCAAGCUGUGCCUUUGUACUGAUCUGCUGCUCCUCAAUUCAAGAAAUACUGCCUCAAAAUAAAGCUGUUUGUCUUAUGU